AGGCAAUCUGUAAAUAAGGAUCCAGGGCUAUUAGCAUUGAUUGGCUGUUAUUCAACUCCAUAUUGGGAGUCUUAUAAACUUGUAAAUAUAGUCUAUACACUUAAAGGCUCAGAGGAGCUGUAAAGACUGCAUUUACCUUCCCAUUGAAAUGACUUUUAAAAUAAUAACAAUGGUAAUGAUAAUAAUAACCCUCUUUCCUGUGGGGUCCUUUAUUUAGUUUGCAACUCACUUUCACAUCCAUUAUCACUUUAACUCUUCCCAACCCUGUGAAGAUAUCAUUACCUGCUCUUUGAAAAAAAUGGACUCAGAAAAGUGACACGAUUUGUCCAAUGUCACACAGCUAGUAAGAAAUAGAAUGGUAUCUCAAAUUUAACUUUUCCCACACCAAAAACAAACAAAGAAACACACACCCAGGUAGAAUUUUUUUCUACUACAAGGGAUCUACCUUUGAAUGGAUUUAUUCUUAAAGAAGGAGAAUUCAGUCAAGAUCAUUUAGUUUUUGAUUAGACAAGUCUCUAUAAUAACUUUGCACAAAGUAUCUUACUUCUAAAUGAAUUCUUCAGGAUGAGUAUGAUGUUACUCUAAAAUCACAGAGUUUGUGUUAGAAAAGACCUCAAAUCUUAUCCAUUCUUGGUUUGUUCAGAUAUUUAUUAAUUUCAUACUUCAUGAGGCCCACAUUCCUGGAGAAGAGACAGGACCCAGAGAUGUAUCUCUCAUGGAGAAUCUGUCAGCAGCGUCUUUGUUGCUGGGAGUGAGAGCAAGUACCUGCCUCUAGUUAAAUCAUCAAUGUGACCAAGGACAGAAGGAUGCAGGCAAGACUGAAGAUGGUGAUUGCUAUAGACUGAAUUGUGCACCCAACCCAAAGUCAUAUGUUGAAGCGCUAACCACUGAUUUGACUGUAUUUGGACAUAGGGCCUAUAAGAUGGUAAUUUGGGUUUAGUUAAUGAGUUCAUAAAGGUGGGUUCCUGAUCUGAUGAUAUUAGUGUCCUUAUCAGAAGAGAU
rnacentral:lncRNA from 1 species